rnacentral:rRNA from 1 species
UGCACGUGCAAGUUCCGGGUUCUUUAUCCCGUACUGGUAUGUGUAGGCAACGCAUUGGUUUCCCACAUUGGGUGCCGAUGAAAUGACAUCUGAUGUGUCUAUACGUGCUGGCCGGGUAUCCUUAAGCCGCGUUCGGCUCAGUACAAAACUUAGAAUGAAGGUUGGAUCUUAACUGUGUAUAUGGUGAGCGCGUCUUUCGGGGCGCACGAUCCAGGCACCACGGCCGUUCGCGCGGCCGCUGGAGCGACAUUGUUAUUUGGAUAACUGUGGAAAAGCCAUAGCUAAUACAUGCAAACGUGCCGAGCCUUCACGGGCGACGUACGAACCGAAAGCGUCACUCGCGUGGCGCUGCCGAGCAGUAAUCAAGUGUGAACUCUGCUGCUCGGCGUAGCGAUCCGAUCGCAACUAAUCGUAGCUGAUUUCUUCAUCAAUUGGUGUGGUGUAUCGUGCACACCAGAGAUGGCUACGGGUCACGGGGAAUUGGGGUUCGAUUCCGGAGAAGGCGCCUGAUACAUGGCUACUAACCCCAAGGGGUGCAGCAGGCUCGAAAAUUACCCAAUGAGAGCUACUCGAGGUAGCGAUGAUAUGUGAUGGUGCGAUCGCUCCUAGUAGUGAUCGCAAUCGGAAUGAGAGAAUCGUAAAGAACACACCGAAAGCCAUUGGAGGGCAAGUCUGGUGCCAGCAGCCGCGGUAAUUCCAGCUCCAAUGGCGUAUGUUUAUGCUGCUGCGGUUAAAAAGCUCGUAGUACAACCUCCGUGUUGGGCUGCCGAUCCAUCCGCUGCGGGCGGUAUCGGUGUUGUUCAGCAAGUACAGCCAUUGCAAAUUCGAUGUCCUAGUCGUUUGCCCUUCAGUGGGUGACGCUAGGUAGUAUAAGCAAAAUAAGGUUCGACUACCUAGAACAAAUUAAAGCGAUCCAAGCAAAGACGACUUAUGUAUAGAUUCGCUUGGUAUAGACUACUGAUCAUAAGACGUCUACCUAGUAAGUUGCCGUUGAUUAUGAUAAGGCAACUAGCGGUAGGCGGGUGAACGUGUUAUAAUGGUGCGAGAGGUGAAAUUCAUAGACCGCCCGGAGAGCUGCCACAGCAAAGGCAGAGGUUGGCCAUAGUCUUGAUUCAAUAACAGGCCGACCGAUAAAGAACGAAAGUUGGAGGAUCGAAGGCGAUCAGAUACCGCCCUAGUUUCAACCGUAAACUAUGCCAUCUUGGUGUUCGUUAGGAUCCUAAGAAUAUCUAGCGAGUACCACUCGGGAAACCAAAGCUAUUGGGUUCCGGGGGAAGUAUGGUUGCAAAAUCGAAACUUAAAGGAAUUGACGGAAGGGCACCACCAGGAGUGGAGCUUGCGGCUUAAUUUGACUCAACACGGGAAAGCUUACCAGGCCCAUACAUGACCAUGAUAGACAGAUUAAUAGCUCUUUCUU